GUCAAAGUUGGCAUGUGAUACCUUUUCGGAAAGCCCAAAGAGAGCCCUCCGACGAAGGAAGCAGGACAAUGGAACUUUUCCAUUGACUUUUUGUCGACCCCAAAUUUUGUCCUUUAAGUACUUUUUUGGGCAUUUUCGUGAUUUGGGCUAUAUUACGGACCCAAAGUUACUUGUUCAAGCAUUGUUUUCGAAUUUUUUCAUGCAUCAAAGCUCGUUAAGACUAGAUGGGGUAUCCCUACAUAGCGGGUGGGACCCACGGCGAAUGGUUCAUCAAGUCUUCAAAAAAGAAUAUAUACGAUUGCAUUGCAUAUACUAACGGAUGAGAUCAUACCAGCACUAAUGCACCGGAUCCCAUCAGAACUCCGCAGCUAAGCGUGCUUGGGCGAGAGUAGUACUAGGAUGGGUGACCUUCGGGAAGUCCUCGUGUUGCAUCCCUCUUUUAUGUUUAACCUUUUUUUUUUGGUUAAAACUUUAUGACUCCAUAACUUCUACACGG
rnacentral:rRNA from 1 species